AACGAACGCUGGCGGCAUGCCUAACACAUGCAAGUCGAACGAGACCUUCGGGUCUAGUGGCGCACGGGUGCGUAACGCGUGGGAACCUGCCCUUAGGUUCGGAAUAACGCCCCGAAAGGGGUGCUAAUACCGGAUAAUGUCUUCGGACCAAAGAGUUAUCGCCUUUGGAUGGGCCCGAGUUGGAUUAGCUGGUUGGUAGGGUAAAAGCCUACCAAGGCGACGAUACAUAGCUGGUCUGAGAGGAUGAGCAGCCACACUGGGACUGAGACACGGCCCAGACUACUACGGGAGGCAGCAGUGGGGAAUCUUGGAAAAUGGGGGAAAGCAUGAUGCAGCAAUGACGCGUGAGUGAUGAAGGCCUGAGGGUUGUAAAGCUCUUUUACCCGGGAUGAUAAUGACAGUACCGGGAGAAUAAGCACCGGCUAACUCCGUG
rnacentral:rRNA from 1 species